GACGAACGCUGGCGGCGUGCCUAAUACAUGCAAGUAGAACGCACAGUUUAUACCGUAGCUUGCUACACCAUAGACUGUGAGUUGCGAACGGGUGAGUAACGCGUAGGUAACCUGCCUGGUAGCGGGGGAUAACUAUUGGAAACGAUAGCUAAUACCGCAUAAUAUUGAUUAUUGCAUGAUAAUUGAUUGAAAGAUGCUAUUGCAUCACUACUAGAUGGACCUGCGUUGUAUUAGCUAGUAGGUGAGGUAACGGCUCACCUAGGCGACGAUACAUAGCCGACCUGAGAGGGUGAUCGGCCACCCUGGGACUGAGACACGGCCCAGACUCCUACGGGAGGCAGCAGUAGGGAAUCUUCGGCAAUGGACGAAAGUCUGACCGAGCAACGCCGCGUGAGUGAAGAAGGUUUUCGGAUCGUAAAGCUCUGUUGUAAGAGAAGAACGGGUGUGAGAGUGGAAAGUUCACACUGUGACGGUAGCUUACCAGAAAGGGACGGCUAACUACGUG
rnacentral:rRNA from 1 species